rnacentral:lncRNA from 1 species
CCAGAUAUCAAUGAGUGUGCACCACCCGCGGCCGUGUCCUGUGGAAAGAAUGCAGAGUGCCUGAACACGGACGGGGGCUACCACUGCAACUGCACCCCCGGAUAUGAGCUUGCUUCUGGGGCACCAGCGUUCAGGAAUGAGAGUGAGAACACCUGUCAAGGCAUCAGAGGAUAGUCUUGGGUACCUACAUAGUCUCCUGACCAUCUCUGAACCCCAAGGCUCAGAACUGUCUGUGGAGGGUCAUUUUUGGAUGUUUGGAACAUUCCCCCCACCACCACUUGGCAUCUUAUUUGUGUAAAACAAAAGAAAGAUCGACAUUCAAGAUACUCAACGUGGACGAAUGUCAGCAGAAACUGAGAAUCUGUAAAAGCCACAGCAUCUGCAUCAACACCCAGGGCAGCUACACCUGCCAGUGCCUACCUGGCUUCAAGCUCAACCCAAGGGACCCGAAGCUGUGCACAGAUGUGAAUGAAUGUACCCCGGGGUCAAACCCAUGUCACAACUCCACCCACUGCUUCAACCUCGUGGGCAGAUAUGAAUGCCGCUGUCGCCCUGGCUGGAAACCGAUUCCUGGGGACCCCAGCAGCCCAAAAGACAUCGUCUGUGAAGAUAAGGACGAGUGCAGCUCCGGGGAGCAUCAUUGUCACAACUCCACCAUCUGCACCAACACUGUGGGUUCAUAUGUGUGCCAUUGCCGCCGAGGCUGGGUGCCCAAACCGGGAUUCCAGAAUAAGAAAAAUACCACCAUCUGUGAAGAGGUCUCCUUCCCCACCUGGAUGCCACCUCCUGGAAUCAAGAGCCAGAGGCUCUCCUGCUUCUUUCACAGACUCCAGGAUCUGCGUGGGAACCUCCGUUCUGUCUCUGUUCAGAGCACUAUCCAGGACCUCAUACAGGAGGUUGGUGAUCUGCUGGAGGGGCCCCAGGACCUGGAAAACCUGUCCCAAUCAGAGCAGCAGUUUGUGGCCACUAAUCUGCUCCUGGGCCUGGAGAAUGCCCUGGGAUGGCUGGGCAAGGCCCUGCCCAUUGGGGCAGUGACUUUUAGUUCAUCUGCCGGCACAGGUAAGUACUUGGGACUGUCCUCCGGCUUCUCCUCUGCCUGUUCCCUGCCUCCUUCCUUUUCCACUUCUUUUAGAGUCACGUGACCAUGCUUGUAUCUCAGUGUUAAUCUCAUGAAUGAAUUAAAAUAAAAGGUUAAGAGCAAAAUAGUUGAGAGGGGAUUAAGAGGUGCAAACUUCCUUCAAUUAUAAAAUAAAUAAGUUAAGGGGCUGUAAUAUAUGGCACAGGGAAUAUAGUCAACAAUGUUGUAUGGAGACAAGAGCUCCUGUUGUGGCUUAACAGGUUAAGAACCUGAUGCUGUCUCAGUGAGGAUGCGGGUUCAGGCCCUGGGUUAAAGACGUGGCAUAGGUCACAGAUGCAGCUCAGAUCCAGUGCUGCCAUGGCUGUGGCGUAGGCCUGCAGCUGCAGUUCCAGUUGAUCCCUUGCCUGGGAACUUCCAUGUGCCACAGUGCCACCAUAAUAAGAAAAAAAGAAAGAAAAAAA